rnacentral:rRNA from 1 species
CCCCCCCUCUUUUUAUAAUGUUUUUUGUUGUUUUUUGUUUUAUAAAGAGAAAAAGGGGGGGGGAGAAAAAGGGGGGGGUGUUGGGGGAACAGGGUUUUUGGGUGGGUGAUUGUUUAGUGGGGGGGGGUGUUUUCUUCCCCAAAGGGGGAAGGGGAGGGGGCCGAGAAAGGUUUGUUAUAUUCCGGGUUGGGAAUUUUGUGGGGGUUAGUCCAAGUGAUUUAACAAGUUUUAACUGGGGGACCGGACAAUUGGGGCAGGUUCGAAAAGUAGGUUAUAGGGUUUCGGGUGUUUUGGAAUGGAAGGGCCAUUGCUCAAGCGAAUAAAAGGUACUCCGGGGAUAACCGGGCUGUUCCCGCCCAAGAGUUUAAUUUGACGGCGGUGUUUGGCACUUCGAAUGUGGGCUCAUCACCUCCCGGGGGUUGAAGUAGGUCCCAAGGGUAUGCUUGUUCGCCAUUUAAAGUGGUACGCGAGGUGGGUUUAGAACGUCGUGAGACAGUUCGGUCCCUAUCUGCCGUGGGCGUAGGAGAAUUGGUUGGGGCUGCUCCUAGUACGAGAGGACCGGAGUGGACGCACCACUGGUGUUCCGGUUGUGUCGCCAGACGCAUUGCCGGGUAGCUAAGUGCGGAAGAGAUAAGUGCUGAAAGCAUCUAAGCACGAAACUUGCCAAGAGAUGAGUUCUCCCAAUCUAAGAGAUAGUAAGGGUUGUUGUAGACUACGACGUAGAUAGGUCUGGUGUAUAAGUGUAGUGAUACAUUGAGCUAACAGAUACUAAUUGCCCGAGAGGCUUAACU